rfam:Kluyvera intermedia strain CAV1151 plasmid pCAV1151-296, complete sequence.
GGAGCAGCAACGAUGUUACGCAGCAGGGCAGUCGCCCUAAAACAAAGUUAGGCCCGCACGGAAUCAACAUCUCAUG